rnacentral:rRNA from 1 species
AGCGUAGACGGAAUGGCAAGUCUGAUGUGAAAGGCCGGGGCUCAACCCCGGGACUGCAUUGGAAACUGUCAAUCUAGAGUACCGGAGGGGUAAGUGGAAUUCCUAGUGUAGCGGUGAAAUGCGUAGAUAUAUGGAAGAACACCAGUGGCGAAGGCGGCUCUCUGGUCUGUAACUGACGCUGAGGCUCGAAAGCGUGAGUAGCAAACA